rnacentral:lncRNA from 1 species
GGGGCGGUCUGCGUAGCCUCGGGGACUGCCCUUCGGUGCUGGGUGUCGGCGGAGGACGCAAGCCUAAGCAGCGCAUCUCGGGAGGGUGCGAUGGGGCCGUGGAGGAGGGUCUGCGCGUGACUCCGGGAGCGCGGAGUGGAAGCCGGCCUUGCCUCGGGCAGGGCCCAGACAGGGUGGAGUGGCAGGUGCCUGGAGAGGACUUGUUGGCAUCUGAGAGGAAGAAAACAACUGUGCAUGUCCAGAGUCCCCAUUGCAGCUUUGGGGGGUGGUCCCCAGAGCAGACCCAGAUGUCACUAGGAACGCCUCCAGUAGGGUGGGGCCAAGCUCUUCUGACCCCAGCCCGGCUUCCUGCCUGGACCCUGUGGAGUUGCUCAACAGGAUUCAACGCUGCAGCCUGGGGGCCAGGAGUCAGGGCAAGGCCAAGACUGGGCAGGAGGGCUGCAGAGGGACUUUACAGGCACUGAAGACCCAGAACACUGACUGCCACGAUGAGACCAGGUCCCUCAGGAGGAUGAUAAGAGAGGAGAAGAGGGAGAGGGCCAGAGCUAGAGGAGCUCACGAGUCAGCGGGUGAGAGAGGGGAGGAAGGAGGUAAUUACGUGCUGAUGGUCGUCUGCACUCUUGGACUCUUCCAUAACUGCUCCAGAAGCUUCAGGGUGUUGGGAGCAGCAGCAGUCAUGGAGCAGCCAUGGGAAGGAAAGGGGAGAGUGAGAGUCGAGGAGGCACUCGGGCCCUGCCGUCCUGAGGCUGCGGAGCCAACCCCACAGGCUCCGGUGUGCUUAUCUCCAGAGCCUUCUCCGCAGCCUGGAUCACUUCCUACAGCGAGGGAGGAGCCUCUGUCUUCCCACACACUUUCCCAGCCCUCACAUCCUGUAACUGUGCCCAGGCAGGGAAGGCCAAGGCCGUGUCAUCCCGUUCCUCCAAGAGGCGGCCACCAUCUCCAGGACGUUGUGCACACUCCCAGCCAAGGCGCAAAAACCACAGGUGUGACCCAACUGUCCCCAAGAACCCUGUGCCCCAGCCCCACCUGGAGUGUCUCCGCUACUGGCAGAGUCUUUGUCAUCACUGGUUUCAGGAAAGCUGUCCUCAGAGCUACCUGCAGAGACACAAACAUCAGAGAAGGGUGACUUCAGAGUGACUCAAACAGCACUCCUGCUCCACGCACAGCCACACUGGGUGACACCAGGUGCCCUGCUCCAUCCUCUGUGAUCUCAGACUCUCCCCGGGCUCUGUGGACUCAGCUGGGAGCCUUCAGAUGAAACAGAAAACCUGAAAAAAUCCCCCUUCACCCAUUCACCUCAAGUGGCCCAUUAUGGCUGUCAGCUCCACUCCGAGAACCCUGAAUUUCCAACAUAGAUGCACACGUGUUGAGUUAGGUGAGUGCAGUGAACAGAACCUGGGUCAGGCUCAUGGCAGCUGGCCCAGAGAACAUUCUGACAGGAUGGCAAUGCUCUCUGCAGUGUAAGCAUUGGGAUACUGGGUACUCAAAGUGUGGCUCUUGAGAGGAGGUUCUGAAUUUUUAAUUUUAUGUCUUGAAAUUAAUGUAAAAAUAAACAAGCAUAGAUGCUACUGAAGUCCACACUAAAAUGCACAGGUUUAAAGAACAAAGAUGAGAAAGACAUGGCUUGCCUCCCCUGCUGCUGCCUUGCAGACUAGCUUGCUGCUGUGAUCUGGUCAUCCAAAGAUGGGUACUUCCAGGGCAACAUGCACAAGAAACAGGCCCCCAUGAGGCCUGGGGAUGCUAACACACAGAGGACAGCAGCCUGGUCCUGGGGGCUCCCCAGCAGCGGCACACUUGUGACAGCAAAAGAGCAUCCUCUGCAAACACUCUCCAAAUAGGAGCGGAGGAGGCAAGCGGGGGACCUCACUGCCUUCAUGAGCCCCACCCCCCAGAUCAGAACCCAUGCAGGGCCCUGGAUUAGUGUGGGCUCAACAGACUGCACAGGGUGAGCAGGAAAACUUUUCACAUUUGUGCUGUGUCUCAGCACAGAGCUGUAUGCAUCAGAACAUCACUGCACCCCAAAGAAAGCUGCUCAGGGCUGAGCUCUGAGAUGGGAAGAAAUGAGAAGGACACAGUCCCUGUGCUCCCAGUGACCAGCCAUGGCUGGCUAAUUUUAUUUUUUUGUAGACAUGUAAUUUUACCAUGUUGCCCAGGCCAGUCUUAAACUUCUGGGCUCAAGUGAUCCUCCUGCCUCAAUCUCCCAAACUGCUGGGAUUACAGGCAUGAGCAUCCCCACUGGGUCCAGUCAUAUCUUUAAAUACAACAGGACAUGUCCCUGAUUAUUCUCUGCUUUUGAACAUGAGCUGAGAAAUGACCCCACCACUGUAGCCUAAAGGCUGUGACUUCCCUAUGUGUGUUUCAUAUUAGUGACCACCCCAAAGUCCAGUGCACUGCUACCCUGCCUUUCGCCAUCACUGAGAACAUCUUAUAAUGACGGGCAGUGUCUGAGAUCUCUCUACGCUGUCAUCCUUCCACGUGCACACACAGAUGCUGGCAUUCCCUGGUGCGGUGAUGAGUUACACCAGGGCAACAUGAGGACUGCAGAGUAGCAGCCCAUCACGUCAACUUUGCACCCAUUCCUGAGUUCACAUUUGCCUUUUCCAUUCAGGAAAUGGAGAGCUUGGGAAAUUCAUCUUUCCACCAUAUCCAACCUUAGGACUGAGAAUAUUAAACUACCCUUCUGGUACAGCUGUGGUGAAGGAUGAAAGUGUUGACUGAUGGGAAGUGUGCAGUGGGGAUGGAAUUUGGUUUCUAGAACACCGAACCUUGGGUUGUGCUUUGCACAGGGGAGCAUGCUUUCUAGAGAAAUGCACACACACUCCCAAAGACAUUCACCAUCACUCCACACAGACUCUCUCCUCCAUGCCUCCCCACCCUGAUGCACCCGUGUUCCUAUUUAAAUGACAUCACUGCUUCUGGGAACUAGAGUGGAUGGCCACAGGUGUUGACUAAAUUCUUUGGUUUUUCUUAUACCAAACUGCCCAAACCUCAUUUCCAGCAGGAAGCUCCCACCAGGGUGGUUCUCCAGCAAAAGCAGGGAGGAAAGUGUCACCUUUCUCAACACUAAGAUAUUUCCUUAGCAAAGGGGUGGCCCCAGAGUACAUACCACUUGCUCGAAUCGCUGAGUCUCUCUGCAGGGAGAAAGGAAAACACUAAGCGUCGGACCAUGCUGUGUCCCGUGUGCACAGCUCUUUUCUUCAGUUGCUGACAUUAGAAAAGCAGAUGGGAAAUAUUGCUUGUAAGGCCGAUUGCCUCGCCGGGAGCUCACCCCCACCCGCUUUUUUCGCCGAAAGCUCGGACAAGCUCGGGCAUGUUUCCUUCUCCCCUUCUCGCACAGCCUGGCUUUCCCUUAAAGAACCCAGUAUGCAAGCAGGGUCUUGUGAUUCUAGCCAAUAGCAGCCGAGUCUUUCUAGCCAAUAGCAGCCGAGUAAUUCUAACCAAUAGCAGCCAAGUCCUGUAUGCAAACAAAGGCUUGUAACCUUACCCAAUAGUAGUCCUGCUCUCCCACAACCAAUCGAACUCCUUCACUCCCUAUAAAACCCCACGUCUGAGAGGAGUCCAUGCGACUUCUCCGGCCCCUCCUGUCGGACCGCAGAACCUUGCCCGGGAGCCUGAAUAAAUUCCUUCAUAUUGGAUCUUCUUGUGUUGGCCUCAGUUUCUUCCUUUUAAACUCGGCAAGAACCCAAGAACAAACCUCACAGUGCUCAAGGCAAUGGCCCCAAAGUAAAGCCUAGAAGACACUUGUGGAAAGGCACGAGUUUUGUGUAAGACUUUCCAUAUGAUUUUUAUUGCAAAUUCACCACAAUUUUCAAACAGUAAGCACUUCUCCUGAGGAAAAUGUUACCUGCAUACGGUUUGUAUCUGAAGCUGUCAUCUAUGAGUGCCAUCUGGAACCAGUUCCUAGUUGGCAGUGAACUCUCACAUUUUCCCACCAAGAAACUCUGUAACUUGUCUACAAUGUCCAUGGUAAGAGUUGCAACAAAUGAAAUGGAAAGAAACUAAGAGAAAUACAAUUCUCAUCUUAGACAAAAAACGAUCUUACGUUGAAAACGGCCAGGACUUGUUCUGAGGACAUCUCUCCAGGAAACUGUCCUGAGACGAAGAGUAAGUGAGCUAGGAAACAGAGUCACUGUCAGCACAUGGGAGCUAGUGAAGAAUCAAUCCCUCAGGCAGCCUUGGGUGCUGUGGACGGGGCUGGCGUGUGUGGAAGAGGUGGGUUAACAGCACAGGCUGAGCUGCCAGCCCAUCCUCCUUAGUGGUGAAGGGCGGCAAAGGAGACCAUCAGGAAAGCCCUGGGAGACAGAGCCUUGGCUCUCGAGCUGAGCCACCCUCAUCAAUGUGAAAGCUGAUCUCAAACAGGGUACAUGUGUUUCAAUGACAGCAUCUCAGGGAGCCUUCUAUUUGGACCUGAGCUAAGUCGUGCUGUUUUUUUUUUCUCUUUGAGCUGCUCUUGCACUGUCACCUGGGCUGGAGUGCCGCGGUGCAAUCAUGACACUGCAGCCUCGACCUCCCAAGCCCAGGUGGAUCCUUUGCCUCAGCCUCCAAGUAGCUAAAACUACAGAUGUCCCCAUCGUGCCCAGCUGAUUUUGUAGAGAUGGGGUUUUGCCAGCUUGCCUAGGCUGGUCUCGAACUCCUGAGCUCAAGCAGUACACUCGCCAUGGCCUCCAAAAGUAGCGGGAUUACAGGUGUGAGCCACUGCUCCCAGCUGUGCUGCCUUCCUGAUCCCAUCUGAGGUCAUUUACUCCCAGGAUCCACCUGCACCGCUGUGUGGAUCACCUGUCCUAGAAGAUGUCCUACAUCAUUAAAUCAGUCUUUCUUUUAAAAUAUGUAUUCCAGCCAAAAUAGUCUAUAACAUUUGUCCACCAAACAUCUGUUUUAAAGAAAAAUAAAGAUUUUAAAUACUCAUAAUUAUCCUACCAUUUAAACAU